rnacentral:rRNA from 1 species
AGUGAACGCUGGCGGUAGGCCUAACACAUGCAAGUCGAACGGCAGCACAGUAAGAGCUUGCUCUUACGGGUGGCGAGUGGCGGACGGGUGAGGAAUACAUCGGAAUCUACUUUUUCGUGGGGGAUAACGUAGGGAAACUUACGCUAAUACCGCAUACGACCUACGGGUGAAAGCAGGGGAUCUUCGGACCUUGCGCGAUUGAAUGAGCCGAUGUCGGAUUAGCUAGUUGGCGGGGUAAAGGCCCACCAAGGCGACGAUCCGUAGCUGGUCUGAGAGGAUGAUCAGCCACACUGGAGCUGAGACACGGUCCAGACUCCUACGGGAGGCAGCAGUGGGGAAUAUUGGACAAUGGGCGCAAGCCUGAUCCAGCUAUACCGCGUGGGUGAAGAAGGCCUUCGGGUUGUAAAGCCCUUUUGUUGGGAAAGAAAAGCAGCAGGUUAAUACCCCGCUGUUCUGACGGUACCCAAAGAAUAAGCACCGGCUAACUUCGUG